rnacentral:rRNA from 1 species
UACGUAGGGGCUAGCGUUAUCCGGAUUUACUGGGCGUAAAGAGCGCGCAGGUGGUUGAUUAAGUCUGAUGUGAAAGCCCACGGCUUAACCGUGGAGGGUCAUCGGAAACUGGUCGACUUGAGUGCAGAAGAGGGAAGUGGAAUUCCAUGUGUAGCGGUGAAAUGCGUAGAGAUAUGGAGGAACACCAGUGGCGAAGGCGGCUUCCUGGUCUGUAACUGACACUGAGGCGCGAAAGCGUGGGGAGCAAGCAGGAUUAGAUA